CACGGCGGGUGCUAACGUCCGUCGUGAAGAGGGAAACAACCCAGACCGCCAGCUAAGGUCCCAAAGUCAUGGUUAAGUGGGAAACGAUGUGGGAAGGCCCAGACAGCCAGGAUGUUGGCUUAGAAGCAGCCAUCAUUUAAAGAAAGCGUAAUAGCUCACUGGUCGAGUCGGCCUGCGCGGAAGAUGUAACGGGGCUAAACCAUGCACCGAAGCUGCGGCAGCGACGCUGAUGCGUUGUUGGGUAGGGGAGCGUUCUGUAAGCCUGUGAAGGUGUGCUGUGAGGCAUGCUGGAGGUAUCAGAAGUGCGAAUGCUGACAUAAGUAACGAUAAAGCGGGUGAAAAGCCCGCUCGCCGGAAGACCAAGGGUUCCUGUCCAACGUUAAUCGGGGCAGGGUGAGUCGACCCCUAAGGCGAGGCCGAAAGGCGUAGUCGAUGGGAAACAGGUUAAUAUUCCUGUACUUGGUGUUACUGCGAAGGGGGGACGGAGAAGGCUAUGUUGGCCGGGCGACGGUUGUCCCGGUUUAAGCGUGUAGGCUGGUUUUCCAGGCAAAUCCGGAAAACUAAGGCUGAGGCGUGAUGACGAGGCACUACGGUGCUGAAGCAACAAAUGCCCUGCUUCCAGGAAAAGCCUCUAAGCAUCAGGUAACAUCAAAUCGUACCCCAAACCGACACAGGUGGUCAGGUAGAGAAUACCAAGGCGCUUGAGAGAACUCGGGUGAAGGAACUAGGCAAAAUGGUGCCGUAACUUCGGGAGAAGGCACGCUGAUAUGUAGGUGAAGUCCCUCGCGGAUGGAGCUGAAAUCAGUCGAAGAUACCAGCUGGCUGCAACUGUUUAUUAAAAACACAGCACUGUGCAAACACGAAAGUGGACGUAUACGGUGUGACGCCUGCCCGGUGCCGGAAGGUUAAUUGAUGGGGUCAGCGCAAGCGAAGCUCUUGAUCGAAGCCCCGGUAAACGGCGGCCGUAACUAUAACGGUCCUAAGGUAGCGAAAUUCCUUGUCGGGUAAGUUCCGACCUGCACGAAUGGCGUAAUGAUGGCCAGGCUGUCUCCACCCGAGACUCAGUGAAAUUGAACUCGCUGUGAAGAUGCAGUGUACCCGCGGCAAGACGGAAAGACCCCGUGAACCUUUACUAUAGCUUGACACUGAACAUUGAGCCUUGAUGUGUAGGAUAGGUGGGAGGCUUUGAAGUGUGGACGCCAGUCUGCAUGGAGCCGACCUUGAAAUACCACCCUUUAAUGUUUGAUGUUCUAACGUUGACCCGUAAUCCGGGUUGCGGACAGUGUCUGGUGGGUAGUUUGACUGGGGCGGUCUCCUCCUAAAGAGUAACGGAGGAGCACGAAGGUUGGCUAAUCCUGGUCGGACAUCAGGAGGUUAGUGCAAUGGCAUAAGCCAGCUUGACUGCGAGCGUGACGGCGCGAGCAGGUGCGAAAGCAGGUCAUAGUGAUCCGGUGGUUCUGAAUGGAAGGGCCAUCGCUCAACGGAUAAAAGGUACUCCGGGGAUAACAGGCUGAUACCGCCCAAGAGUUCAUAUCGACGGCGGUGUUUGGCACCUCGAUGUCGGCUCAUCACAUCCUGGGGCUGAAGUAGGUCCCAAGGGUAUGGCUGUUCGCCAUUUAAAGUGGUACGCGAGCUGGGUUUAGAACGUCGUGAGACAGUUCGGUCCCUAUCUGCCGUGGGCGCUGGAGAACUGAGGGGGGCUGCUCCUAGUACGAGAGGACCGGAGUGGACGCAUCACUGGUGUUCGGGUUGUCAUGCCAAUGGCACUGCCCGGUAGCUAAAUGCGGAAGAGAUAAGUGCUGAAAGCAUCUAAGCACGAAACUUGCCCCGAGAUGAGUUCUCCCUGACUCCUUGAGAGUCCUGAAGGAACGUUGAAG
rnacentral:rRNA from 1 species